rnacentral:tRNA from 1 species
GCGAAGGUGGCGGAAUUGGUAGACGCGCUAGCUUCAGGUGUUAGUGUCACUUACGGACGUGGGGGUUCAAGUCCCCCUCGCACCA